rnacentral:rRNA from 1 species
AAUGAACGCUGGCGGCGUGCCUAACACAUGCAAGUCGAACGAGAAAGCCCGCAAGGGUGAGUACAGUGGCGCACGGGUGAGUAAUACAUAGGAAUCUGCCUCUGAGUGAAGAAUACCCUAGAGAAAUUUAGGUUAAUACUGCAUAAGCCCAGAAAUGGGGAAAGGUGGCCUCAAGCUACCGCUGAGAGAUGAGCCUAUGGCCUAUUAGCUAGUUGGUAGGGUAAAAGCCUACCAAGGCGAGGAUGGGUAGCCGGCCUGAGAGGGUGUACGGCCACACUGGAACUGAGACACGGUCCAGACUCCUACGGGAGGCAGCAGUGGGGAAUAUUGGACAAUGGGCGCAAGCCUGAUCCAGCCAUACCGCGUGGGUGAAGAAGGCCUUCGGGUUGUAAAGCCCUUUUGUUGGGAAAGAAAUCCAGCUGGCUAAUACCCGGUUGGGAUGACGGUACCCAAAGAAUAAGCACCGGCUAACUUCGUGCCAGCCGCCGCCGUAA